rnacentral:rRNA from 1 species
GACGAACGCUGGCGGCGUGCUUUACACAUGCAAGUCGAACGAGUGGCGAACGGGUGAGUAACCCGUGGGUGACCUCCCCUGCACUUCGGGAUACGCCUGGGAAACUGGGUCUAAUACAGGAUAGUGUGGGAUGGGCCCGCGGUCUAUCAGCUUGUUGGUGGGGUAAUGGCGCCCAAGGCGCGACGGGUAGCCGGCCUGAGAGGGGGGACGGCCACACUGGGAGUGAGACACGGCCCAGACUCCUACGGGAGGCAGCAGUGGGGAAUAUUGCGCAAUGGGCGCAAGCCUGAGGCAGCAACGCCGCGUGUAUGAAGAAGGCCUUAGGGUGGUAAAGCACUUUCAGCGGGGAGGCGUUACCCACAGAAGAAGCACCGGCUAACUCCGUGCCAGCAGCCGCGGUAAUAC